rnacentral:rRNA from 1 species
UACGUAGGGAGCGAGCGUUGUCCGGAUUUAUUGGGCGUAAAGAGCGCGUAGGCGGCUCGGUAAGCCGGAUGUGAAACCUCCAAGCUCAACUUGGAGCGGCCAUUCGGAACUGCUGUGGCUAGAGUCUGGUAGGGGAACACGGAAUUCCUGGGGUAGCGGUGAAAUGCUUAGAUAUCAGGAGGAACACCAGUGGCGAAGGCGGUGUUCUGGGCCAGUACUGACGCUGAGGCGCGAAAGCGUGGGGAGCGAACAGG